GGAAAGAGAGGGAUUCA
rnacentral:tRNA from 1 species